UGCUACUUCUAAGAUGGGGAUGUUAAGAGCAGUCAGUAUGAGUUAACCCAUCUGUAAUUUCUUCACUAAUUUCAAGAGGAAAUGUAUUUGGAGAAUAAAUGUAUCUGCAGUAGACUAAACCUGGUCAUUGUGUCAUGUAUAAACCUGUAGUUUUAGAAGUCUUAAACUACAAACUGCAGAAAUGUACAGCAGACCACAAACUAUAGAGAGAAUUCAAAUAAGAUUGGCAGUUGUGUAUGUAAAUUGUACUUCAUCUGUUAAAAGGCAUGGUUCACACUUUUGUGUAAUGCUUGUUGUACCCAGAGGUGGCGCUGUCAAAACAGUCUUGCUUUUGAACAGAACUAUUUCCUUAUUCAUAACUGGGACCACACCUCGCACCUUCAGUUAAAGUUCUCAAGGACUUUGCUUCAUGUAGGGGGGUGGGGGAAAUAAAACAAAAAAGAAGCCCCUGAAAACGUUUACAUAUGAAGAGAAGGUGAUAUCAAGGGAAGGCACAAGUAAUACAGAUCUGCAAUAAAACCAGAACUUGGUCCCGUCAAUCUGAAGUCGGUUUCUUUUAAAUUUCAGUUCCAUUUCUGGACCAGUGGAUUGUACACAUGGAGUGAAACAGAAGAAACCAAACUUCUUUUCUUUGGCACAAUCUGAUAGCCAUAGGAAGAGUGGAUUACUGGAGUUUUAGCAACUCAUUUGUAAAGUGUGAGAUCUUGAAAGGCUACUAUAACCAUGAGUGAUUUUUGGCAUAAGCUGAACUGCUGUAUGGUGGAGAAAGCUCCCCCG